rnacentral:rRNA from 1 species
GACGAACGCUGGCGGCGCGCUUAACACAUGCAAGUCGAACGGAAAGGCCCUGCUUUUGUGGGGUGCUCGAGUGGCGAACGGGUGAGUAACACGUGAGUAACCUGCCCUUGACUUUGGGAUAACUUCAGGAAACUGGGGCUAAUACCGGAUAGGAGCUCCCGCUGCAUGGUGGGGGUUGGAAAGUUUCGGCGGUUGGGGAUGGACUCGCGGCUUAUCAGCUUGUUGGUGGGGUAGUGGCUUACCAAGGCUUUGACGGGUAGCCGGCCUGAGAGGGUGACCGGCCACAUUGGGACUGAGAUACGGCCCAGACUCCUACGGGAGGCAGCAGUGGGGAAUAUUGCACAAUGGGCGGAAGCCUGAUGCAGCAACGCCGCGUGCGGGAUGACGGCCUUCGGGUUGUAAACCGCUUUCGCCUGUGACGAAGCGUGAGUGACGGUAAUGGGUAAAGAAGCACCGGCUAACUACGUG